rnacentral:rRNA from 1 species
UACAGAGGGUGCGAGCGUUGUUCGGAAUUAUUGGGCGUAAAGCGCUUGUAGGCGGCCUGUCAAGUCGCGUGUGAAAUCCCCUGGCUUAACCAGGGAAGUGCGCGCGAAACUGAAGGGCUUGAGUGCCGGAGAGGGUCGCGGAUUCCCGGUGUAGAGGUGAAAUUCGUAGAUAUCGGGAGGAACACCAGUGGCGAAGGCGGCGACCUGGACGGACACUGACGGCUGAGACGCGAAAGCGUGGG